CCUUCCCCUACCCUCAGCCGCCGCAUCCCCCUCGAAAACCGCGCCACCAGCCAGAUCCAUCCACCUCCUCCCUGUUUUCCGGCGCCCUCCACCUCAUCCUCGCCACGUGGCGCCGCCUGAGUGGUCGCGCCGCCACCCAGCAUCGCUCCCCUCCAACCGGAACUGGCCACGUCGCCCCUGCCUCCCUCCUCCACCUCGCGCGGCCCGCAGAGCCCGUCCGAGGCCCGCUCAGGCCCGAAUCGCCGCCGUCCGGGCGCCCGCUCGCCUCCCGGCCCCGCAGCUCUGCUCGAUGGGAUCGAGAGAGAUCCCGAGCGCCGCCGCCUCUCGCCUCCCGCCGGCGACCCGGCAGCCCCGCCGGAGCCAGCAGGCCGCCAUGGACGCCGACCCCGUCGAGGUCUCGUCGCCCCGAGCUCGGCCUCGGGUCAGAUCCGGCCGGAAACGGGGCCCCGCCUCCUCCCGUGGCUGGAUCCGCCCGUCCCUGUCCUCUCCUCGCGCCCCGGCCUCCUCCUGGCGCUCGCCGCCGGCGCCGCCUCCGCUCGUCCUCGUCGGGCGAGGACGACGCCCUCGCCUCCCAGUCGCGCCCCGCGUGGGCCUCCCCAGCUCCAGCCCAGCAUCGCGAGGCCCAGCGCCUUCCAGCCGGCCCGCAGCUCCCCAGGCCCAGCCGCAGCCAGCCCCAGGCCCCGCCGAAGCCGCGCCAGGCCCAGCCGGCCUCCUCCACCGAGCCGGCCCAAGUGCCAUGGUGAACCGACUCGCUCCCGCAUAGGCUAGGGUUCCCCCCGCCGCCGCCGCCGCCCCCAGUCCCUGACUCGUAUGCUCAUCACCGCGGCUAGCUCCGGCGACAUGACCAGAGGGUAGGAGCCAUCUUCCGUCGCUUCUCCAACCUCGGGCAUGACCCCUACCUUCCCCAGUGGCCAGGAGCAGCUCGUGUUGGUCCCGUCGGUGCCCUACUCCGGUGGUCGGUGCCCCACUCCGGCCGCGACCCAGUCCGACGAGAAGGAGCCCCGUUCGUUUCCCUCCCCUCCUCAGUCUGUGGCCAUGAGCUCGGCCGGCAAGGAGCUUAUUCUGACAACAUAGCUCAAAAGAACUGGCCGUGAAGCGGACUCGCGCGGAGGAGCUCUGCCUCUGGGCCAGGCGCGUAGCUGGCGUCCAUCUCGGCGCCGGGGAGGGAGGAACAAGGGCGCGGCUGAGUCCGCUGCCUUCGCCACUCACCACUGCCUGCCGAUGUGGUUGUCUGCAUCUUCAUGAGCCACGACCGACCACCCCGUCGUCGCUAGCCAUUCUCGCGCCAGAGAUAUCCUUCGACCGUUGUUGUGUCCCGCCAGCCCCUAGGCGCCCUUGUCCGGACAAGUUCCACUGUUCCCCUUCAGGUCCUCCUCAACACCCAACCGCAACCGGCAACCAAGGUUAUUUUCCGAGCCACGGCAUUGAUCCGUUCGUGGUCGCUACUCACUCCGAUGAAGGCCAGGGAGCAUUUGGUUACUGGAUCCAUCCGAUGGGAGAUGGUAGCUCGGGAUAUCUUCAACCGAUUUGGAUGGCGGUCAUGUAAUAGGAUAGGCAAUUAGUUUACCUAUCUAUCUUUAGCCAGCCGGUUCUGGCGUCUUUCUUUGGCUAGUUAGUGUUUCUAGUCCUUUUUGGCUCUGUGUGAGCUUUCUUUUCAGUUUUUUUACUGUUGGAGACUUUGGCACCUUGUUUGGAACCUUUUUAUUUGGUUAAUAAGAUGGCCGUAUGCAUCUAUCUGAUGCAGAGGCCGGGGAGAACCCCCUUUUGAAAAAAAGAAAGAGAAUACCAUGGUUUUCUAAAAAAGCCAUGGUUUUAAAGACUUUGAUGUGUUUGGCAUUAACAAAUACUUUAGUUUAUAAAACCGUAGUACCUCAGAAAACUGUGUAUUUUACUGUAUCUAAAAAAUAGGUCCAGACCUCUUUUUUCCAAACCGAGGGACACUCACGCCUGACUGGUCUCUCGAGUUCAUCUUCUGUCCGCCAUCAGAUGUGAGUUGUUCCUCAUGUUCUAGCCACAAACAAACCAAGCUCACCACAUGGAAAGAGAGGCACGUGGUCUUCUACACACCUACUCUACUCCCUGUGAUGUACCUGAAGACAUAUGCCGACUUGUUCACGGCAGCAUGCAUGCGGCAACUGUUAGCACAAGCUGGUCAGGUCUUAAUAAUUGGUGUAGCUGAGUUAGGUUCACCUAGCUAUCUCUAGGACGUAAUAAUAGGUCAAACCAGAGGUAACUUAAAAAGAUUGUGCUUGCCAAAUGCUCUGUAGUUUUGCCAAAGCAAAGGAAAACUUCAGUUUUCAGAAACUGUGGUAUUCAUUGCCCAAUCAUUUGAAUACCAUAUUUGGAUUGCUGUGGUUUUAGAAAUAUUGUGCUCCCAAACUAGGCCUCAGUUUUUUAGAAAUAGGCCUGAGGUUCUUUUUUUAUGCAGAGAAAAACUACAGUUUGGUCAAUACUGUAAAUAAAACUAAGGUAAUCUAAAAAAAACUGUAGUAUUCUCAAAAAACUUAGAAAAUACUCUGAUAUCAAACAUGCCGUUAGUUUCUUAAGCGACCUGAUUGUUUUAUGUUUUUCAUGCAUGUAAUGUCUACAGUGUUAUUCAGCUGCUGCUAUUUUGGUAUUUUUCUGCAUGUAGAUGCAUAGAAGUUGGAUGCAUGGUACACUGUUUUCCCGUGAGUACAUCAGUGGUAUCAAAGAAUUUAUGAACUUCAUUCAAGAUAAAUUCGGUGAGGAUGAUGAAAUACUCUGCCCGUGUAGUUGAUGUCUUAAUCAGAAAUAUCAUCUUAAUCAGGAAUAUCUAAAGCGGACCAUUGUGGAGAAUCACAUGUUGAUGAAUGGCAUUGAAAGUACAUAUACUCGCUGGAUACAUCAUGGAGAAGUCUUUGAUCUAGAUGUUGUUGAACAUCCUGUUCAUGUGCAUGGUACUGAAGAUGGUUCCGUACAUGGGACUGAGGAUGAGAACAAUGGUGUUGAUCAACUUGAAGGGAUGUUAGGAGACCUGCACACAGCAGCAGAACAAGCUCAAAAGGAAGGUGAAAAUCAAGAUGAAAACAAUGGCGCAAGCCCUCAUGAGAAUGAGUCUUUUUUUGGAGUACGCGAAGAAAGAGGCAAAGCGCCAACUUUAUCAUGGUUGCACCAAGUUUUCAAAGUUCUCCUUUGUGGUAAAGCUUCUUCAUAUGAAGUCAUACCAUAGGAUCAGCAAUACUGCAUUUUCUGAAAUAUUAAAGCUAUUGGCUGAAGCAUUCCCUGAUACCAAUACACUCCCAAAAUCAUAUAAUGAAGCAAAAAACCUUCUGAAGGAAUUAGGUCUUGGAUAUGAGACGAUACAUGCGUGCUUCAACAAUUGUGUUCUUUUCAGAAAGCAAUAUGCCAAGAAUGAUAAUUGCCCAGUUUGUGGUCUAUCAAGAUAGAAAGACCCUGUUAGGAAGAAGAUUCCACAGAAAGUGCUCAGACAUUUUCCAUUGGUACCUAGGCUGAAGAGGAUGUUUCUUUCCAAACAAGCAUCAGAAGAUGCACAAUGGCACAAGUUAAAGCGGCAGCCCAGUGAGAAAGAAAGGAGCCAUCCAGCUGACGGUGAGGCGUGGCAAGAUUUUGACCGUGAAUAUCCAAAAUUUGCAGAAGACCACAGAAACAUUAGACUUAGCCUUGCCACUGAUGGGUUUAAUCCUUUUGGCAACUUUAACAAAACCUAUAGUAUGUGGCCAGUAUUUGUUGUGCCAUACAACCUUCCACCUUGGGCAUGCAUGAAUCAGUCAAAUUUCAUGAUGGCUUUGCUAAUUUCAGGUCCUAAAUCUCCUGGCAAGAACUUUGAUGUCUUUCUACAGCCUCUUGUAGAAGAUUUACUAGAGCUUUGGAAUGGUGUGCGUACAUAUGAUGCUCUUAGUGGAAAAAUGUUUGAUCUUCAUGCUGCAGUUCCAUGGUGCAUCCACGAUUACCCAGCUCUAAGCACUCUUUCAGGGCGUACCACCAGAGGUUAUUCUGCAUGUAUUCAUUGCGACAAGCACCCUCUUUCUUACGGCUUAAGGAACAAAAUUGGGUAUAUUGGGCACUAUCGUUUCCUUUCAAGGGGACAUCGUUUGCGUAGAAACAAUGAAUUUGUUGGUCUUCAUGAAAGGAAUGAUAAGCCAGGUAAAUUCUCUAGAGAAGAGCUACAAGCAUAAUUGGAGAAGGUUAGACCUGGGCAGGAAAAGGAAAGCAGGAAAAGGAAGCGUUCUAUCUUGGGCAACAAAAAAAAGCAUCAUGUGCCAGUUUGGAGUCGGAGGGUUUGUUUGUGGGAUUUGGAGUAUUGGAAAAAAAAUUGAAGUUGAGACAUAAUCUUGAUGUCAUGCACAUUGACAAAAACAUAUGUGACAACCUUGUUGGGACAAUUCUGAAUAUAGAGGGUAAGACAAAGGACACAAUUAAUGCUAGGCUUGAUCUCAAAGAUUUGAAAAAAGAGACUGCAACUGAGGGAGAAAGGAAACUCAUAUGUGAUGCUUCCGGCUCGAUAUACCUUGUCCAAAGAACGAGUGAUUGCCUUUUGUCAAUUUUUACGAGAAUUAAAGUUUCCAGAUGGGUUUGCUUCAAACAUAGCAAGAUGUAUAAGUGCUGAUGGAACCAAGGUACAAGGCCUAAAAACACAAGAUUGUCACAUUCUUUUGCAAAGAAUCUUACCGGCUGGAAUGAGAGGAUUUUUGGACAUUGAUAUAUAUGUAGCAAUAGCUGAGUUAGGCAAGUUCUUCAGGAAAUUGUGCUGCAAAACUCUUAACAAGGAUGUGUUGGCCGAAAUGAAGAAAGAAAUCCCUGUAAUAUUGUGCAAGCUUGAGAAAAUUCCCCCCCUGCUUUCUUCGAUGUGAUGGUGUACCUUGCUGUACAUUUACCCGAAGAGGCGUUACUCUGAGGUCCCGUGCAAUAUGGGUGGAUGUACCCAAUUGAAAGGCGGUUGUAUACUUUGAAGCGCUAUGUGAGGAAUAGGGCACGACCAGAAGGGUCGAUUGCUGAGGCAUAUGUUGCUGAUGAGCGCCUGACAUUUUGUUCCAAGUACAUGAACGAUGUUGAAACAAGAUUUAAUCGGGAGCCAAGAAAUAUAGGUUUUUCAGAUGAAGAAGCCUAUGAUGUUGAUGUUUUCGGGCAUGGAGUUAAUUUUACUUCAGCAUAUCAAUAUGUAUAUGUUGAAAAUGAAUUUGAUCAAAUGGUGUGGUACGUGUUGAACAAUUGUAGUCAAGUUGAGAAAUAUAGAAGGUGAGCUAGAGAGAGAAGGACUGCCAAACAUUGAAAGAAGGCUUCGGGAAGGAUUCCAGACAUGGUUCAGGAACUAUAUAAUGAGGCUGCAGAAUGAGGAUGGCAAAGAGGUUAACAAAGAUCUCUUUGCCUUGGCAUGUGGUCCUGAUUCGAGAGUCAGGAAAUACUCAUCAUGCAUAAUGAAUGGCAUUCGGUUUAGUACCGUGGACCGUGAUAACAGUAGGAGAACACAGAAUAGUGGAGUUGUGUCCGAAGGUAGGCAUGACAGGAAGGUCAUUGACUUUUAUGGAACCCUGAAAGAGAUCAUUCAGUUAGACUAUAACUUGGACGAUAGGUCAGUCGUUUUGUUUAAAUGUGAUUGGUUUAAGCUUCAUGGGAAGAAGACCGAACUUCAAAAUGAUGGAUUUUUUACAAGCAUCAAUGUGGUAAGUAUAUGGUACAAGGAUGAUUCUUUGAUUCUGGCUACUCGGGCUAAAAAGGUCUUCUAUUUGCCAGACACAAAGUUAGGGAAAAUUUGGGAAGUUGUCCAAACAUUCGACCAUAGGCAUCUCUUCAAUAUUAGUGAAACUGAGGGUGCACCUUUUGCUGCUCUUUCAUAUCAAGAGGAGUGUUGUGAUGAGGAUGUCAGGCAAAAAUCAGUUUCUGACCAUACAUCUGAGAAGCCUUUACAUAGAGAGGAUGAGCAAGGCGUUAUUUUUGAAGCUGAUGUAGUUGCCCGUUUGAUGAAAGACAAAAACACAGAAGUGUAUGGAAAUGAGGGCGAAGAUGAAGAAGAUAACACAGGUAUGGAGUACUGCAGCGAAAAUGAAGGAGGUGCCACAAUGGAUGUCGACAGCGAUGACGACUAGAUGUUUUGAUGUAGAAGUUUAUCGUGCAUCAAAGGGUAUCACCAGUCACAAGAUUCCAUCUCAGUGUCGUCAACGUACUGACUGCUUCCCCUCUGAAUACAUGUUUGCUCAUGCCUAAACAUGAUAUGAAUAGGAGUAAAAAAAUUGUAUGUGGUAUAUCCAGUUGAUGUAUCUGGAUUGGCUGUAAGGUAGCCAUUUAUGUUUAGAGUACUUUCUCGGGUUCACGCCAAAGGGAGAUAAUGGCCUUACAUGUGGGCCUGUAAUUUUGAUUUACUGUAGUGUAAGGAGAGCUGAUUGUGCUCACGUAUUGUGUUUUUUCGCUGAGUUGUAUGUGUAAGUUAGGCUUU